GCGACCCCAGGUCAGGCGGGGCUACCCGCUGAGUUUAAGCAUAAUCAAUAA
rnacentral:rRNA from 1 species